rnacentral:rRNA from 1 species
UGGGGAAUCUUAGACAAUGGGGGAAACCCUGAUCUAGCCAUGCCGCGUGAGUGACGAAGGCCUUAGGGUCGUAAAGCUCUUUCGCCAGGGAUGAUAAUGACAGUACCUGGUAAAGAAACCCCGGCUAACUCCGUGCCAGCAGCCGCGGUAAUACGGAGGAUGCAAGCGUUAUCCGGAAUUAUUGGGCGUAAAGCGUCCGCAGGCGGCACUAUAAGUCUGCUGUCAAAGACCGCAGCUCAACUGCGGAAAGGCAGUGGAAACUGUAGAGCUAGAGUACGGUAGGGGUAGAGGGAAUUCCCAGUGUAGCGGUGAAAUGCGUAGAGAUUGGGAAGAACACCAGUGGCGAAAGCGCUCUACUGGGCCGUAACUGACGCUCAGGGACGAAAGCUAGGGGAGCGAAAGGGAUUAGAUACCCCCGUAGUCC